rnacentral:rRNA from 1 species
UACGGGGGGGGCAAGCGUUGUUCGGAAUUACUGGGCGUAAAGGGCUCGUAGGCGGCCAACUAAGUCGGACGUGAAAUCCCCAGGCUCAACCUGGGAACUGCGUCCGAUACUGGAUGGCUUGAAUCCGGGAGAGGGAUGUGGAAUUCCAGGUGUAGCGGUGAAAUGCGUAGAUAUCUGGAGGAACACCGGUGGCGAAGGCGGCAUCCUGGACCGGCAUUGACGCUGAGGCGCGAAAGCUAGGGGAGCAAACGGG